UACGUAGGGGGCAAGCGUUGUCCGGAAUCAUUGGGCGUAAAGCGCGUGUAGGCGGCCCGGUAAGUCCGCUGUGAAAGUCGGGGGCUCAACCCUCGAAUGCCGGUGGAUACUGUCGGGCUAGAGUGCGGAAGAGGCGAGUGGAAUUCCUGGUGUAGCGGUGAAAUGCGUAGAUAUCAGGAGGAACACCAAUUGCGAAGGCAGCUCGCUGGGACGUGACUGACGCUGAGACGCGAAAGCGUGGGGAGCAAACAGG
rnacentral:rRNA from 1 species